GGGCUGUGAUGAGAUAUUGAGAAAGUCAUGCACCACUCUGAUAAUCUCAGGUGUUGAUAAAUUUCUCUUACCCACAUAAUUUUCUGAGCUC